UGGAUCAGAAUAUUUGAAACUGAGGCUGUCUCAGAAAAAGAGACCUAUGGUCCAGGAAAGAAGCAGGCGUCCCUCAUCAGGAGGGAAGGCAUGACAGAAGGUAGGCCCAGAGCAGGCCGGGUGCAGCCGUCAAUUAAAGACAGGAGAUGGCAGCGAUCAUCACCAUCAAGGUUACAGUUCUGGACUAUGUACUAUGCCCAGGAAUCAUUCUAAGGGCUUUCUGUGCAUGAUCUCAUUUAACACUCAUAAAAGCCCUGACAGAAGCCUCUAUGAGCCCUGUUUUAUUGCUGAGGAAAUGGGCUGGGAGCAGUCCCUUGGAACUGAUAGAGCAGGGAUCCAAACCCAAGGCUUUCAGACUCCAUAGACAGUGCUCUGGGAUUGGAAUCUGCCCCAGAGACCUCUGGGAAGCCUCUCACCUUCUGCUGUCAUUCCAGCCUGAGCCCCAACACCAGUUUUUGCAGCUGUCCCCCUGUCCCAGUGAAGCCAGGCCUCUGGGUUCUAAAACCAGGGAAAUGCCUGCAGUGUGAUGGACAGUCAGGAGGCAUCUUUCCAUUUUUUCCUUUAAAUAAUUCUCAUAACUAGUGCAAUUUGCCAUUUCUGUCUCCUCACACUUCCCCCACCCCCAACAUGUUCUUUUUUGAUUAUUUAUUAUCAUAAUUAACAUUUAUUGGACAUAUCACUGUGCAAAAUGUGGAGGAAGCCAGACUCUCCCACCCUUUUGGCUUAUGAUCCAAAUAUUUAGAUUGUAAACACAAUGUUUUUGGCAACUUAAUUCUGUAUGAAGAAAUAGAGCAUUUGCAGGAAAUGUCAGAUGCUUAUUUUAUGAUCAGUGCAAGGAGUAAUUUGCCCCACACAAAGAUUUGGACUUGGCAAACAAGCCCUGUCUACCUAACCACAUGUGAGGGAGGCAGGGACAAUGCUCCUUCCUUGCCACAGUUGUUAGGAAAUGGGCACUUUUAACCAUCAGUAAAAUGCAGUGGUAGAAAGGGGCAGGAUUGGGGGUGCUGGUGGCCAGCAAGGGAGCUGGGCUAGAGGCAUUAAUAGAAGUUUUUGCUUACCCCUUCUCAUAGUAAUGGAUAAACCCAGGCCACAUAUUAUUCUGUGCUAAAUGUGUUCAAGAGACAUGUAAAAAGUGAACAAAUUAGCCUACUUCCUCAUCUUUCACAAUCUGCAGAAUAAGACUGCCAGCACGCAGAGGAGGUAACUCACUCCAGAACACUGGCUUCAGAACUUCCUGCCUGUGUGACAGUUCUCUCUCGGACAUAGUGUAGAAGCCCAGACAUGCAGUGUUUUCCAUUUGAGAAACUGCUAAUUUCAUGUGACAUGAUAUUGAAGACUGUAAGACUGAAGAGAACACUAAAUGCCCAACCUGACAAAACUGUUCACUUACUAGCACUAAACCACCAAAAUACAAAUUGCAUGAAGGUAGGAGAAAGUCACAUCUCUGGGGUGACACUGCAAAAUGGCCGCAAACUUCCCCUGGAAGAAGGCUAUGCACUUUCCCAAGUCAGAGAGUUGGAAGGUCUUAUUAGUGACUUAUGAACAGGCAUGAGUGUUAAGUCUCAAUGUGCGAUGGAACAAAAAGGAAUUUUCAUCCAUGGUAAUGCUCUUGGUAGGUAGCAGAGUUGGGAUACGAUUCAGAUUUGUUUUGGUCAUUUAAUCCAAAGCUCUUGACAAUAUGCCAUUCUGUCCAGGCUUUUUUAACCCAUAACACUAAAAAACACAGGAAUGAAUAUACAACUCUGGAGCAAACCUGAGCAUCUUCACAAAGUCAGUGGGCCUAGAGAUGAGGACACAUGAGUUCCAGUUGAGCCAUUAGUCCCCCACGAAUCCCAAAAUAUCUCAACAGAAGACACUUCCAACAGGGCUUAUAUUCAGCCAGCAGGUUAAGCAGCCCAGCCAGGGUCCAGUUGAACUAGCCAGAAUCUUGAUCCUAUUUGUUGUUAGAUAUUUUGAAUACUACCCCUACUUACUAAGAGAUCCUGCAGGUACCAGAGCAUCACUGAAUUUAUAUAUAACAUCAACAUAUUUGCAGGAGGCAACAUCUGCAGCUUGUUGUGUGCAAAUUAUUCAGGUAAUAUGGAGAAAAUGUUAAAAUUACCAGAAGAAAGCCUCAGAGCCACCCCCUUUUAAGCUGCCUUAGUGUUCUUUUCCCAUAGAUGUAAAUUCUGGCUAUGUAAGAACAAGAAAUCUGACAAAAGGUAGCUUUUUUAAUGUUUGCUUUUUAGUCUCAAGCAACAAGCUACACCACUAUUGGAAGCCAUUAUAAGGGCAUGCUCUUUCCACCCUGUUCAUCACAUAAUUCUGGCCCCUGGUUUACUGCACUAACAGGAAUUAUAAAAAGGGAGGGUCCACUGGAUUGCUUCACACCUGAUGUAGAGUUCCAUUAUUGUAAACCAGUUGUUCAAUUGAGAAAAAUCUCUCAAUCUCUCAGCCUAUUGAUGAAAUACUGAAAUCCCACUGCUCUGUAAUAAAUAUUGUAUGUGUCAAAUGGAUUAUAGAAAAGCUUGGAAUUGUGCCCCUUGGCAUGUGGCAUAGUACAGCCAACUUAAGUUUUCCCAUCUCACUUUGCUAUAGCAAAACCAUAGUAUUGUGAUCUAAGGGCCAAAAGCUUUUAAUUAGCUUUUAAGAACACACCCACAAUAUUGGCAAAUGCCUCUAAUAGCAGGGGGCCUUUAUAGUUGAUGCCACAUUUUUCAUGAGAAAAUAUUAGUUUCUGCUGUGACAUAGUGUUUCUGCCAUGACAUUUAGGUGGUUUUUUAAAACAGCUACUACAUAAAUUUUGCAGUCUCUGACUAGUACCAUACAUGUCUUGUUUUGAACAUAAAGUUCUCUUUUUCUUUACAUCCUUGAUGUUUUGUUGUUUUUUUAAUGACAUGUUAUUAGUGAUUAUUUUCAGUUGAUUAAUAAAUGUAAUGUGUUCUUGGCACAUCAUGUAAGCAAGCUGACAGUGACAUGCCCCUCUAAAUCAGCUACUAUGUGGCCUUGGGGGAGGAUGAAUAACCCUGUUCAAGGCUGAAAGCAUAACUUCUGUAAAAGGCAGUCUAACCUUUUACACCGUAACAUGCUCUGAUACAAAGGUCAUAAAAGUUUCUUAUACAUUUCAAUUAGUUAAUUCUAAUUGCAAACUUACUUCAGUUGUGUGGAGUGGCCUGCCAAAAGAUAUAAUGCUGCUUCAGAUUUUCAAAACAUCUUCUAUCUAAAAAUCAGUAAUAUUGUACCUUUUCUUCUCCAUGUAACUAUCAAAGCAAUCCCUGAGAAAAUAGCUCAGGGAAAGACUAUCUAAAAUUCAUUUCAGAAAAGAUAGUGUUUCUGUCUAGUCUGGGAAUGGGGGCAUCGUUGCUAACUAUCUGAGCAGAGCAUUGCACAAUAUGCUUUGCUUGUUUUCUAGCUGAAUAUUAGCCUGACUUUACAAACAAUUCAGGUCUACAAACUCCAGUGAGAACCAGAAAACGACCUAAAUACAUUCCCUAAGCAAAGGAAGAGGAAGAAAGCAGGCAAACUUGGCAAGAUUUCUGAAAGGAAAUGUUACUGUUCUCUAGUAAAAGAGAGUUUAUAAUGUGUAAAGAAAAUUAAGAAGUGGAGUGACAUCAAUGCAAAGCGAUGGGGGGCGUGGUCUCCUGCGGCAACGCGGAGCCAGUCGGGAGAUAUGGUCCCAGCCCCUCCCCUAACCGGACCUGCCAUGCGGGGCAAAUUACGUCCCUUUCUGAGGCUCAAUUUUCUCAUCUGUAAAAUUCCCUAAGGUCCCAUUCAACACGAACAUGUUGAGGCUGGAAGUCUAUAAAAGAUCUGAGAUGGCUUAAAUAGGAGGCGGCGGCAGAUGGUCUGUGGGGCUCAUGAGCUCUGAGAAGAGUAAUCGGAGUCAGGAAGUGGGAAAAAAAAGGCAGACACGAUUCUAUUGAAAACAAGUAGAAAAUUUGAGAAGACCUGGAAAAGUAACUGAAAAAGAUAACAGCUAAUAGUAAAGUCCAUUUCCAAAGGUGUGGGAAGAAAAUUUGGCCAACAAAACAAUAAAUUAUAAGGAAGAGAGCAUGGCAAAAAUUAAAAUAUUGCUCAUUAGUAUGAGUAGAAAAAAGAGAAUGUCCAGUGAGAAUUCAGGCCAUCAUAUAGUCAUACGGCCAAAUUCUUAAAAAAGGAAAUCAUAUCUAAUGGUAAGUGUACCUCUUUUUUAAUGUAAACUAAUAUCAUCCUUUAUCUAUUUGUGAUUUGAGGAAGGCUGGGAGCUUGGUCUUUAAUGACAUGUAGUAGGGAAUCAACAUCAUAGUAAAGUGACAAGAUAAAACAUUGUCUAUUGCUAUAGACUGAAAGUUUGUGGCUCCCCAAAAUUCGUAUGUUGAAAUCCUAACCCCCAAUGUGAUGGUAAUAAGAGGUGGGGCCUUUGGAAGGUGAUUAGGUCCUGGGGGUAGAGACCUCAUAAUGGGGUCAAUACCCUGAUUAAAGAGACCCCCCAGAAAGGUCCCUUACUCCUUCCACCCUGGAAGGACACAGCAAGAAGUAGGCAGUCUGCAACCAGGAAAAGGGCUUUCACCAGAACCCCAGCAUGCUGGCAACAUCCUGAGCUCGUACUUCCAGCCUCCAGAACUACAAGGGUAAGUGUUUGCUGCUUGUGAGCCACCGAGUCUGUGAUAUUUCAUUAUAGCAGCCCAAAUGGACUAAAACAGAGGCAGAGAGAAGUUAAAUAAAUUGCCCAGCCUCAUAAAGCAAGUAAGAGACAGAACCAAGAUUUAAGUGUGAGCCUCUUUGCUGCUGCUUUGACACAGAUGAGACUUUAAUAUGAAUUAAGUGUUGCAAAGGGAAGUAACCUGGUGCAGGGAUCAGAGAAGCACUCCCUAAGGAGAGGGCAUCAGAACUGAGACCUGAAGAAGAGCAGGAGUUAAGCGGGCACAGAAGCGUGAGGAGCCCGAGGUGGAAAGCUGCUCCAAGUGAUUAUCAGAUCAUUAUACUGCACUUGACUCAGAAAGGCCGCUGCACCAUUAUCAUAUACAGAUGCCUAAAAUAUCAGGGUGUUGCCAGCAAAGCCAUCGGCCAGAACGCCAACAGUGGUUUUCUUUGGGAAAUGCAAUUUCUGGACUCCAUUAGGUAGGCUCCAGAAAGGCUCACGUGGUAAGGAACUCAUGUCUCCAGCCAAUAGCCAGGAAGGAACUGAACUCUGCCAGCAACCGCAUGAAUGAGCCUAGAAAAGAAUCCUCCCCAGGUGACUGUUCAGAUGAGACUGCAGCCCUGCAAACAGCUUGCAUGCAGCCUCCUGAGAGACCUUGGACCAGAAUCACUCAGCUAAACUGAUCCCAGUUUCCUGAUCCACAGGAUAAGUAAUUGCCCUUAUAAACUGCUAUAUUUAGGUAUAAUUUGUAUGUAGCCAUAGAUACAAAAUUCAAGCUCUGAGACUUUCUGCCAAGUAAUAAAUUAUUUCUCCUACCUUGAUGCACACAGGUUGUUCCCAUUGAGGGAAGAAAAAUUCUCCUCCUUCCCCUCCCAUAAACAUUCAUGUCAACACACAAACUCCCCCUCUCUGGCUGGGGAGUAAGCGCUAUAGGUAACUCACAAAUAUUUUCACUACACAGAUGUAUGUGGUUCUAGAUAGUGAAACCUUCAGAAAGUCACUGCUUCACUCUUUCCUUGGCUCCAUCAUUUUUAUGUUCACUUAAUUUGUUUGGAAUCUUUCAUGAGUCAAUAGAAGCCAGAGAAUUCUAAGGAAGAAUUUGACUCCUCCCCUGGGCAGAAUAUUUAAGUCAUGCAUUAUUGUUUGUUUUUAGGCAAACCAGUACAAUUAUGCAUCAUAAAUUCUUUUAAAGCAUCUGGGACUUCAGUUCAAUUUAAAAUCCUGUGGGGUUUAUUACCAGAAUGAAUAAUUAUAAAAUAUAUGCAUGCAAAUGAAGAGAUAAAAAAAUUAAAGAGCCUAUAAAAUUUAGCACACACUACUUAUAAUUCCAUGCCAAAUUGUUGCAAAAGACAGUGGCUACACAAUACCACAUAAAAAUAUGGUUUAUAAUAUUUAUGACUUGAGAAUGUGCCUUCAAUAUUCUAUUGUCAUGAACAUAUAUUAUAAAACAGAGUUAAGAAUUAGUUUCUUGUGUUAAUAGGAGGAGGGAGGGAAAAAGAGUUUACCAAAGCUGUCAUUGGUUGCACUAUCAAAAUAAAGAACUUGCUUUUACCCCAAUUGUGCAAGCACAGUGAAAAGACAAUGAAGAGCUCGUGAACAUGGAGUUUCUCUACUUUUCAUUAUUUUUAUUCUGAGAGUGCAUUUGGAGCCAAUCUAAUUCAAUCAGUAUUUAUUAAGCAUCAAAAGUAAUAUGUAAUAAAUAUGUAAAAAAGAAUAUAUUUGCUACUCUGUGGGGUAGGGGUGGAGGGAAUAAAAAUUGAACCUUACAUUCCCUACCCUUGAUGAGAUCAAAAUCUGGAGAGCUUUGCAUAAAGAAUUUGAACCAGAACUGCAUAAACUGUUGCAGGAGCCAAGUAACAGGCUCCCACCUCCGGACUCCUCUUUCAAUCCAUCCUCUACUUUGCUGCCUGAGUUAGUUACCCAUAAUAAAAAAUCCACUUGUUCUGCUUUCCUGUAUGAAGUUUUCCACUGCUUAGAAAAUAUACUCCAGACUCCUUAGUAUAAGGCCCUUCAACAUUUGGUCUGAAACCACCUUUACAUAUGCAGAUAACACCCUGGAGAAAAAUGGGUAAGAAAAACAUGGAUUCCACUUGAAAAGACUGAGGAUUCCAGUGCGGUUCUUCAAUUAGCGUGCAGACAUCCACUGUUUCUGCAAGACUCAUCCCUUCCUAAUUUCUACCUCCAGCAAAAAUUAACUUCUACCGAACGUUAGAGUCAUGACGGCCAGGAAGCAGCUGAAGCACCUCCUUGCAGGGACUGGCACAGUAGGAGGAAACAAAAGGGUGUGUUAUUAUGAAAGAAACUAACUGAUAGGAACAUCUCCCUUUUCCUAAUUCCUCCUACUCCAGCCCCAGUCCUCCAGAGGAGAGCUUUGUACUUCUGAACGACUUUGGUCUCUGUACGCUUCACCCAAGAAGCGAAAUUGCUCUGGGACCACUCCUGAAUGUGGAGGGGAUGGUGAGAUUUAGAGAUGGAGAAAAUUGCUUGGAAUUCAUUAGGCUGAAGCAGCCAGAGAUAGCAGUGUGGAGAAAAGAGUCGCGGAGCCUGAGAAUGGGAAGGCUUUCCCUUUGGGUUUGAGUUUUUCAGUGGGUGGGGAGUUCACGGAUGGUGUAGAGACAGGCCCAUCUUGCAUGCUUUACUCCACAUACUGCAGUAUGACUGUAGAUGGGGGCUCUCUGAGAGCACAGCAGGUGGCGGGGCCCCCAGAUGUCUGUGAGCACUGCUGGGAGAUCAGCCUCAACACCAGAGACAAGCAGGAAGGGUAAGAGUAAAGACAAAGCCCGCUGGACUAGUGAUGGGCAUCUGCUUCAUCAUGCACCAUGAGCACCAAAUAAAUCCAGUUUCUCAUGUAAUCCCAAAGAGCAGAGAUCUCACUCUACCCCAGUCAGGUGAGCUCAGAGCAAUUUAUAUUUGAUUUAGAGAUUUAAGGAACAUGCCUUAUACCAGGCUUUAAUAUCUUUAUAUACCAGACAUAGUUUGGGGGCUGUUUCCAGAUAAGAAUGUUUAAACCACCGUGUUCCCAGAAUCCUAUAGACAUUUUUGCAUGUUGAGCUCCAUAUGCAUGGGUCUACAGAGAAAUACCAGACUACAUUUAAUGGAAAAACCCAUUUCCCCAUUCCUCCCUUAUUUCUAUAGGCCACAGACCAGAUCCAGUCUGCUGCCUGUUUUUAUACAGCCUAAAAUGGUUUAUUCAUUUUUUAA